GAUGAACGCUGGCGGCGUGCCUAAUACAUGCUAGUCGAGCGAACAGAUAAGGAGCUUGCUCCUUUGACGUUAGCGGCGGACGGGUGAGUAACACGUGGGUAACCUACCUAUAAGACUGGGAUAACUUCGGGAAACCGGAGCUAAUACCGGAUAAUAUUUCGAACCGCAUGGUUCGAUAGUGAAAGAUGGUUUUGCUAUCACUUAUAGAUGGACCCGCGCCGUAUUAGUUAGUUGGUAAGGUAACGGCUUACCAAGGCAACGAUACGUAGCCGACCUGAGAGGGUGAUCGGCCACACUGGAACUGAGACACGGUCCAGACUCCUACGGGAGGCAGCAGUAGGGAAUCUUCCGCAAUGGGCGAAAGCCUGACGGAGCAAUGCCGCGUGAGUGAUGAAGGUCUUCGGAUCGUAAAACUCUGUUAUUAGGGAAGAACAUACGUGUAAGUAACUAUGCACGUCUUGACGGUACCUAAUCAGAAAGCCACGGCUAACUACGUGCCAGCAGCCGCGGUAAUACGUAGGUGGCAAGCGUUAUCCGGAAUUAUUGGGCGUAAAGCGCGCGUAGGCGGUUUUUUAAGUCUGAUGUGAAAGCCCACGGCUCAACCGUGGAGGGUCAUUGGAAACUGGAAAACUUGAGUGCAGAAGAGGAAAGUGGAAUUCCAUGUGUAGCGGUGAAAUGCGCAGAGAUAUGGAGGAACACUAGUGGCGAAGGCGACUUUCUGGUCUGUAACUGACGCUGAUGUGCGAAAGCGUGGGGAUCAAACAGGAUUAGAUACCCUGGUAGUCCACGCCGUAAACGAUGAGUGCUAAGUGUUAGGGGGUUUCCGCCCCUUAGUGCUGCAGCUAACGCAUUAAGCACUCCGCCUGGGGAGUACGACCGCAAGGUUGAAACUCAAAGGAAUUGACGGGGACCCGCACAAGCGGUGGAGCAUGUGGUUUAAUUCGAAGCAACGCGAAGAACCUUACCAAAUCUUGACAUCCUUUGACCGCUCUAGAGAUAGAGUUUUCCCCUUCGGGGGACAAAGUGACAGGUGGUGCAUGGUUGUCGUCAGCUCGUGUCGUGAGAUGUUGGGUUAAGUCCCGCAACGAACGCAACCCUUAAACUUAGUUGCCAGCAUUGAGUUGGGCACUCUAAGUUGACUGCCGGUGACAAACCGGAGGAAGGUGGGGAUGACGUCAAAUCAUCAUGCCCCUUAUGAUUUGGGCUACACACGUGCUACAAUGGACAAUACAAAGGGCAGCGAAACUGCGAGGUCAAGCAAAUCCCAUAAAGUUGUUCUCUGUUCGGAUUGUAGUCUGCAACUCGACUACAUGAAGCUGGAAUCGCUAGUAAUCGUAGAUCAGCAUGCUACGGUGAAUACGUUCCCGGGUCU
rnacentral:rRNA from 1 species